AGGUUCUGCCACUUACUAGCUGGGUAACUGUAGGCUGAAGGGGCGGACCUACGCCAAGCCGACCACGCCUCCUCCCCUUGAGUAACAGGACUCCAACCCUUCCCCAGCCAACCGGCCAAGGCCACGACCCUUCCCCAGCCAAUCGGCUGAGGCCACAGCCAUUACCUCACCAACUGCCCCUAGACCCCAAUAAAACCUUUGUGCUUUUGAAACUCGCUCUCUUUCCCUGGUACCUCACCGCUGCGUUGGUACAGUGACUGAAAGCAUCUCAUGGAUUUUGUUGUUAAAAGCAAUCACACUUUCUGCAAGACUUGCUUCCUUCUCCACAUCUCUUUAAUUCCAAUUUUCUACAUCAGGUCUGAUACCAUCUGGAAUAGAGGAUGAAUUGAACGCUGUGAACCUUUAAAUUAGCUUGAUAUUUCUAAAAACUAAGAGGAAAAGUUUUUACAUUCUUCAAGGUUGCAAGGUCAACCUCCUGAAAUCUCAACACUCUUUUGGAUUCUAUUUAAAUCUGUGUAGCCUGCAUUGCAAUUCUUUGAUCCCAACUACAUGCUUUAUCUCUGGAACUGAUUUCUUGUUUAUUGGCUGACAUCUUCAACUAUAACAGCAAUGUUAUUUCUGUGGCCAAACUGUUCUCCCAGAAUAUCUUCAGGGACCAAUCACUAUAAAAAGAACUAGAACUUUUUGUACAUUCACUGGAGUUGGCCAUCAUCACUUAAUUAUCAAGCGCUCCAAAUGUCUCCUGAACAGCUCGUAACAUUCAACAAAAUCAAUGCUACCUUUAAGUUUUUAUAACCAGUAUGUCUUCUUAUGCAAUUAAAAUUUUUGAAUGUGAAAGCUUCCUGUAACAUCUCAGUUGGACAAGGAAUUAAAAUGCGUGUCAACAGCAAAUAAGUGAUACGACACUUAUCGUGUUCACGUUAAGUUCACGUUAAGUUCACGUGGGUACUGUUAAGUACCCAAAAGAAUAUAAAUAUCCCAAUAAAAUUUGUCCCAGGGAGUGGUCUGCAGUAAUGCCUGAGAAAGUAAGUGGGGAGGAAAAGACGCAGAAGUGUUAAAUACUAGAAAUAAGUGGAUGAACGGAUGAGCAUCGAGAAAGAGAAAGCAAUCCUCCAGAAGUGAGAAAUUCCUCUAAUGGACGAGGGCAAAAUCAUUAACGACCACUUCAGCCUCUACUUAACUCAAAUUCAAAUAAAUAUUAAGUAAAGGUGAGAUUUUCUCACAACGUUUUCUUAAUGUGGUAAAUAAACUACAGUCCGGCUGCAUCAGCCAGCCACUUUAU